GAACGUCGGGCUUCACAAGGGCUUCACCACAUUAGACACAUGACGCUGAUGAAGAAGCAAGGAGUUUAAUAAUAUAUUAGAAUAUUAUCGAAAACUAAGUACAAGAUUCAAAAAAUAUUUCACGUUCAUGACCACGAUUGUGAAAUUCGGGUUCGGAUCGGACAAUUUUUAUCAUCAAAACAAACACCAGUAAACAUUUGAUAACAAAAUUCCUUUGAUUCGGCAGGAAACUUUCAGUUCGCAACAGGAACACACGAAGGGGACGGUCUGCUGCUAUCAUCAAAAUCUGCCUGCGCCAAAUACAAAUGGCCUGCGCUGCGCACAGGCACAGACGGCACAGAGCAUAUUGUGCGCAGAGACAAUCGCCUUCAAUAUGUUGAUUGGCAAUAGUCGUUGCAUCAGUGCAUCUAAUAAGUCAUACGGACUCAUUCUUUCUGGUAUUCACAAAACGUCACAAAAUCAAGUUUCUAAAAAUCAUACACAGGUGCCGCUAGUGAAUGAUAAACAUUACAUUGAUAAGUGAUAACAUGAUGUUUACAUGUACCACCUGGCUGAGGUCAUAGUUAUUCAGUUUUACAGUUGAUAUUAUUUAAUUUAGGAAAAAUAUUUUGCAAGUGUACUCUCUGAUAGUCGAAUUUAUCUUUAAAUCUUGCCCAUUCAUUUUUUUGCCUUACUCAUCCUUUAGAAUGUUGCACAAAAAUGUGAAAGUGCGAGCGAUGAAAUCAUGACAGUGCAAUCGACCUUCAAACUUAGAAAUGGUGGAAGAGCUCCUAAAAAAAACAAAAUCCUAAUAGUGAGUCUAAGUUACCUCAUGCACUCAAUCGCCUUGAGGCUUUUGGAGUCCAAUCGGGUGCACCAUGUUUUAAAACUCCUUGAAUUUCUCCUGAAACAUGAACUUCAUGAGCAAUAUUCAGCAGUGCAACAGCUUCUCUUCAAGUAUCAUUAUCUCCAUAGGAAUGCUCAAGCUUGUUGUGAAAUAUACAAAUCAUCCGUUCAUAACAAACUGCCCCUCUCUGAGGCCCAGCGAGACCUUUACCUGAAAAUGAUCUCGGAUCUUGACGAUAACAGCUUCAAAAAACUACCCAUAUUGAAACCAAUAGAGAUAAAGUUUUGA
rnacentral:lncRNA from 1 species